rnacentral:sRNA from 1 species
AUAUCUCUCUGUACGGGAAGGAUGAGAAGCUUCGACUAAGGUUCGAUUCGAGCGCAGCGAGAAAGCGUUGCCGUAGGCAACGACCCGAA